AUGGCUUCAAACACCAAAUGUGAUACUGCAUCAUGGCAGACCAACUGGACCAAGUGUUGCCUCUGUCAAACAGAGGAGAGCGAAUGCCUAACAUCUCCACUUGAAAAUCCUGCCAGAAGGGUAGAGGAUGGAUACAGCCUCUUAGGGAGGAAUAUUCCUCUAUUUCAUGCAGUGAAUGCGCUACCGAUCAAGAUGGACCCACGAAGGCUUGAUGACGGCAGUGGGAUAGAGGCAACCCUGAGGGAAAAUCAAGCACAGUACCAUGCUAGUUGCAGGCUUCUGUUCAGCAACACUAAGUUACAAAGGGCAGAAAAGAGAUUGUAUCCUGCAACAGAUGAGAACAGCAGCAGCGGCAGCAGCAGCAAAAUACCACGGAGAAUGUCAGACCCCAAACAGAAAGAAUGUUUCAUAUGUGAGGUGGAGGGAGAUCUAGAUGACUUUAGACAAGCUAUGACCAUGAAACUGAACAAGAGAGUCAACAAGUGUGCAAAGACUCUCAAUGAUGGAAAGCUGCUUGCCAAACUGAGUGCUGGAGAUGUGGUGGCGCAGGAACUGAAGUACCACAGUGCAUGCUUGGCUGGUCUCUACAACCGAGAACGAGCGCACCUGCGCGCUGAAGAGCUGAGGGAAGCAUACUGCAACUCUGAGGUAGGAAAGAGGGAAGCAUAUCCAAUUGCCUUCUCUGAACUGGUAACAUACAUCAUUGAGACAAAAUCUGCAAAUGAGAGUUCAGCUCCAUCAGUCUUCCGACUUGCCGACCUAUGUGUGCUCUACAGGCAGAGGCUGGAGCAGCUUGGCAUCGACAGUCCUGAUGUUCAUGCUACCCGACUGAAGGACCAGCUGCUUCAACACAUCCCUGAUCUACAAGCUGAACAUCAUGGACGUGAUGUCCUACUGGCCUUUAAGGAGGAUGUAGGGUCAAUUCUUGCACAAGCAAGCAAAUAUGGAGAAGCCGUUCAUCUUGCAAAGGCUGCUGGGAUGAUAAGACGUGAAAUGCUUCAACACAAAUCACAGUGGAAUGGCACAUUCCAUGAUGGGUGCCUAGAAGAUGCUGUACCGUCAUCACUGCUUCAGUUUGUUUGCAUGAUUGAGCAUGGAGCAGACAUCAAGUCACAACUCCAACAUGGAGCCUCAAAGUCUGACCUUGCUAUGGCUCAGCUCUUACAGUACAAUUGUUUAGACAAAUACAAGGCCGGAUCUCACGUCCACAGACAUUCCAAGGACCGGGAGACACCAUUUGUUGUGUACAUGGGCAUGUCGGUGUUUGCCAAAACAAGGAAAAGGCAGCUCAUAGACAUGCUCCAUGACAAUGGACUCAGCAUCACCUAUGAUAGAGUCUUAGAAAUCUCAGCCCAGCUUGGAGAAGCUGUUGUAGCUCAGUACGUGGAUGAUGGAGUUGUCUGUCCACCAGUGUUGAGGAAGCAGGUGUUCACAACGUCCGCGGUGGACAACAUCGACCACAAUUCAACACCGACUACAGCUCAAACUUCCUUCCAUGGUACCAGUAUGUCUCUGUUUCAACACCCAAGCCCUGAACAUCCUGGUGAGGAACGAGAGCCACUGAAGCUCAGUGGAGAUAACAGGGUGAAGAUAGUUCCUGAGCUUCCUGAAUCAUUCACCAAUGUUAAACCAGCGUACCUUACUAAGAACCCCGAACCUCCAGCUGUGCCAAGCCAAUUAUACCAAGCACUACACUCAAUCCAGUCACACCUGAAGGAAGAGUACAGGUGGCUAGAGGAGGUGUCUGUCACUGAGAGUGUGGGUGAUACUCUCAGUAUCACAUGGGCAGCCCACCAUGCAGCACAGAAGAGGAGCCAGCCUUUUGAAGUGAGCAUGACAUCACUGUUGCCUUUGAUACGAGACCAGGCUCACUCUGUUGCAACCAUUAAACAUGCCAUGGGGAAGAUUCGAGAUACAGUGGCAUUCCUCAACCCAGGGCAGACCCCGGUCAUAGCUGCUGAUCAACCACUGUUUGCACUAGCAAAACAAAUCCAGUGGCAGUGGCCAGAGUAUGGAGAGGACAAAUUUGUUAUCAUGUUUGGGGGACUUAACAUAGAGAAGGCUGCGCUUGGUUCCCUUGGAACACUACUGGAACACAGUGGCUGGACCAGUGCUAUUGCUGAAGCAGGGGUGGCCUCAUCUGGUACAGCUGAGUCAUUCCUGACUGUGUCAAGUAUCACCAGGACAAGAUUGGCCCACCAGAUCACAGCAUGCAGCCUGUAUAAACUGAAGAAAGAAGCCUACCAAGACUACUGCUCUGAGGAGUCUGGCAGACCAACGCUGACCUUUGAAGACUGGUGUGAUCAGCGGAGACCUCAGAGUCCACAGUUCCAGUUCUGGGAUCUGGUUUUGGACAUGGAGCUGGUCCUGCUCCUGUUGAUACGCUCCUUCAGGGAAGGAAACUUCGACCUUUACCGUGAAGCACUCUCAGAACUGAUCCCCUACUUCUUCGCGAAUAACAAUGUCAAUUAUGCUCGGUGGCUUCCAGUUCACUUCAGAGACAUGAUGUCUCUCGAGAAGCAGCAUCAAGACGUAGCCAGAGAGUUUCACAAAGGAAACUUUGUUGUUCACAAGUCCAGAAGAGACUUCUCUGCCAUGGCCAUUGACCAAGCCCAUGAACAGAACAAUGCAGCCAUCAAGGGUGAUGGAGGAGCCAUUGGACUAACAGAGGACCCAGGGGCACUUUGGAGAUGGAUGGUGGCUGGACCUGAAGUGAGCCAUCUGGUAUCUGCAUAUGAGGCCAUUUCUGGUGUGAAAGACGCAACCAUCAGCACCAAACACCAUGAACAGACCUUAAGUGCUCAGACAUCUUUCCUUGAGAGGGUGGAGGCACUGUUCAGAGUGAUAAAAGAGAUGGGCAACCCUUUCCAAGAAGAGUCCGUUAAUUUGCUGGUGCUGGACACAAAGAACAUUGCAGAUCCAGCACUAGCUGAACUGGUUGGUGGUCAUCACGAGAGAGGCAAGGAGAAGUUCCAGUCAUUUAUGGAGGCCUUGGAGAAUGAAGAAGAAUGCACAUUCUAUCAGCCAAUCAAGAAGAACAAGGCUUCUUUCUUCAAGCACGAGCAGGCAGCCAGUAAAUUUUGUCAUUCUUCACUUGAAUGCUGGACUAAUAUCUAUUGGGCAUUGAUACAGGAGGAGAGUACAUGCAGAGGGCAGCACUGGCUCUAAGAAAUCCGUCUUCACAGCCACAAUGUGCCACUGUUUUUCUUCUUUUCACUCUAUCAUGAACAUAUGUCACCUUCUGUUUCAGAGAUCAGGUUGGGAACAUUGUUUCAAUUUACAUUGGCUUUGAAUAAGCAUACAGACUAUUCUCCAAGAGUUGCAAGCAGUAAUCAAGAGGGAGGUUGACAUUUUUAACCAGUGUAAUUUAUGUUUAGCAAUCUGUGGUAUGUUGACAAGAAAAAGAAAGAAAACAGGAUUUAUAAACCCCACCAGCCCUUGUCCAUAUAAGGACAUUUACACAAGGAGUUUGACAAGCAUUUGUCUUUAUUUAGUUGUAUGGUAUGUCUUUAGGAGCUGUGAGGUCUUGAAAUUCAUCACCUUGCAAGUCAACUAAAUUAAUCAGGUAAGCGGGCUGUGUGAAAUGUUAUCACGGUGAGUCACCAGUAACUACUCCGCCUGCGCAUUCAGUGGCGUAAGUCAGUGGGGAUCAUUCCCACUGGACCGUGAAUUCUUGAUUAAGACAAACAUUAUUUCCACAUUAGCAGGAGGGGAGCAUUGGUCACUGCUUGUGACUGGCUGAAUAGUUUAAGACAGGAAGAACAGUCAUAUGUGUAGCCCCCACCACCGUUCACACAGCGUCAGGUUGACCCUAAUGGGAGACAGGUGGUCAGACUGCAUAAAACACAGGGAGCUGAGCACUCUGACUCAUGCUGCUGCUCACUCUCUUUGUCUCUCGUUUCCACUGCCUCUCAUUUAGUCUGUCCUCUGCCUCUCUCUUUCCAUCUACUCCCCUUCCCUUAAAGGUACUUUCAAGAUAACCUCCUAUAUCAAUGACACUUAAGUAUUCAAAUUAAAUGAGAUCCUUUGUGUGAUUGUGUAUAUAUUUUUUGGUAAACGGAUUUAAUUUCUACCCCAAGUAAUGUUUUACAUCUGUUUUUCAAACCCCCACACGCUCCUCCGACAGCAAUGUUUGUAGUUAAGGCUGUUGCCAUAGUUGUAAAACAUGCUGAUGCCUUCAACCAAUGAAAUGGGCACAUUUAUUCAUUUAUGGUUUCAAUUAACACACUGUCAGCUUUUUGUUUCUUUACAAGGAAAAAAAGAAGUUGAUAAUGUCCAGCAACAUAAACCUGACAUCCUCCAAAUAAUUCCUCCAAAUAUGUUUUAUGUAUUUUGCAUAUGUUUUGAACAGUAAUAAAUUGAAGAUUCCCUGUACUUAGACUAGGCUU
rnacentral:lncRNA from 1 species